UACAGGUGGGAUUGCGUUUUAAAUCUUAAAUAGGCAUUAAGUGUGAUUAGGUGGCCACAUAUAGGCUAGAGUUCUAAGAGGAGAGUUAGAGGAAUAACCAAAGGAAGGAUGAAUCUAUAGAUAUUGGUUGGAACAUCAAUAGCGACAGCAUCACUCUAUUUUAGAACUGACACUGAAUCACUAAAGUGUGGGGAGCAAAACGG
rnacentral:rRNA from 1 species